CAGAGAGGGGCCGAUACUUAGGAGCCACGUUCUCCCGGACGAGCCCGACUCCCGUAUUCAUGUGGUGUUAUCACAGCUUUCCCCUCCAUCCUGCUUCAACCACGAGUUCAACUUCCUGCCUAUUCCCUUCGCUCUGCGAGGAGGAUUUCCCAUCUGGAGCCAAAGCCUAAGAUCC